GUGUACUGUCACAACCUGACCAUAGUUUGCCUUGUAUGUUUCUAUGUUUUGGUUGGUCAGGGUGUGAGCUGAGUGGGCAUUCUAUGUUACAUGUCUAGUUUGUCUAGUUCUAUGUUUGGCCUGAUAUGGUUCUCAAUCAGAGGCAGGUGUUCGUCAUUGUCUCUGAUUGGGAACCAUAUUUAGGUAGCCUGUUUGGUGUUGGGUUUUGUGGGUGAUUGUCCUUGUUACUGUCUCUGUGUUACUUUGCACCAGUAUUAGGCUGUUUCGGUUUUUGUGGUACGUUUAUUGUUUUUGUAUUUGAUUCGUGUUUACUUUGUUUCAUUAAACAUGGAUCGCAAUAGCCACGCCGCAUUUUGGUCUGACUCUCCUUCACCAGAAGAAAACCCAUACAUAUUCUGCCAACAAUUUUUUUGGGGAUUCAAAUAUAACCUAUUUUAAAACCUGAUUUUGUAGCAUAAACUGGGAAUUUGAUAUUUUUUUUCUGAUAUUAUGAUUGUCUGUUUGUUUCAUAUCUGCAAAGCAGUUAAAAAGCUGUCAGUUCCACUAACAACCAUGACAAUGACCUGCUUCAGACCAUUGUUCUAUGUGCUGUCCUUUACUGUAGCCCAGUCAGCUGUUCCAUAUGCUCUGUCCUGCUUCACUAGUCUCAUCUCAUCUUCCUUCACUGUAAAUGACAAUAACAGUUAUGGUCAAUAUAAAACCUGCGCUAGGGUUAGUGUUUUGUAUUUAUUGUGGAUCCCCAUUAGAUUCUGCCAAAGCAGCAGCUACUCUUUCUGGGGUCGAGCAAAAUUAAGGCAGUUUAUACCAUUUUAAAAACAUUACAAUAUAUUCACAGAUUUCACAACACACAGUGUGCCCUCAGGCCCCUACUCCACCACUACCACAUAUCUACAGUACUAAAUGGGUGUGUGUGUGUGUGUGUGUGUGUGUGUGUGUGUGUGUGUGUGUGUGUGUGUGUGUGUGUGUGUGUGUGUGUGUGCGUGUGCGUGUGUGUGUGUGUGUGUGUGCGUGUGUGUGUGUGCCAAUGAGGAAGGUAGGGCAAUAACAGUCAUGGUCAAUAUAAUACCCGUGUUUUGAGGAAGGUAGGGAAAGAGAUAAUACCCGGACUAGGGUUAGUGUUUUGAGGAAGGUAGGGAAAGAGAUAAUACCCGGACUAGGGUUAGUGUUUUGAGGAAGGUAGGGAAAGAGAUAAUACCCGGACUAGGGUUAGUGUUUUGAGGAAGGUAGGGAAAGAGAUAAUACCCGGGCUAGGGUUAGUGUUUUGAGGAAGGUAGGGAAAGAGAUAAUACUUGGACUAGGGUUAGUGUUUUGAGGAAGGUAGGGAAAGAGAUAAUACCCGGACUAGGGUUAGUGUUUUGAGGAAGGUAGGGAAAGAGAUAAUACCCGGGCUAGGGUUAGUGUUUUGAGGAAGGUAGGGAAAGAGAUAAUACUUGGACUAGGGUUAGUGUUUUGAGGAAGGUAGGGAAAGAGAUAAUACCCGGACUAGGGUUAGUGUUUUGAGGAAGGUAGGGAAAGAGAUAAUACCCGGACUAGGGUUAGUGUUUUGAGGAAGGUAGGGAAAGAGAUAAUACUUGGGCUAGGGUUAGUGUUUUGAGGAAGGUAGGGAAAGAGAUAAUACUUGGACUAGGGUUAGUGUUUUGAGGAAGGUAGGGAAAGAGAUAAUACCCGGACUAGGGUUAGUGUUUUGAGGAAGGUAGGGAAAGAGAUAAUACCCGGACUAGGGUUAGUGUUUUGAGGAAGGUAGGGAAAGAGAUAAUACUUGGGCUAGGGUUAGUGUUUUGAGGAAGGUAGGGAAAGAGAUAAUACUUGGACUAGGGUUAGUGUUUUGAGGAAGGUAGGGAAAGAGAUAAUACUUGGACUAGGGUUAGUGUUUUGAGGAAGGUAGGGAAAGAGAUAAUACCCGGACUAGGGUUAGUGUUUUGAGGAAGGUAGGGAAAGAGAUAAUACCCGGACUAGGGUUAGUGUUUUGAGGAAGGUAGGGAAAGAGAUAAUACCCGGACUAGGGUUAGUGUUUUGAGGAAGGUAGGGAAAGAGAUAAUACUUGGGCUAGGGUUAGUGUUUUGAGGAAGGUAGGGAAAGAGAAGACAUGUUAAGACAUGUGGAGUCUCCACACAGAGCAGACCAGAGCAGAGUAGGGCCACAGCUAGAGCCCCGGCCUCACAGCGCAUGUUUCACACCCAGCAAGCAGAAGUCAGAUUUAGCACCAGCAUACAAGCCACAGACACAACAGUACCUCCCUCUCCCCACGCUUUCUCCUCCCUUUCCUCCUCUCCUGUCCUUUCUUCAAAGACAGCACAGUACCCUUAGUCUCCUCCCUCCCACUCCAGACUGCUCCUGCUGCAAAACAAACCCAUUGGCUAGCGGAUUAUCCUAAUACUGCAUGUCUAGUGGUGUGUGUACACACAAUCGUUCACUGGGCGGAGGGCGGGAGUGUUCCGGUUGGUGCACCAGCACAAUACCUGCUGACAGCCUACCUUAAUAGCCCACAGAGCAAAGAGCAAACUGCAGACCACACACACACACACACACACUUCCUCCUACCUGCCACUCUUGUCCUGCUCUCUCUGUUCACAAGUGUGUGUGUUUGGGUAUGUGUGUGCAUGUGUGAAUGCAUUUCCAUGGGUGUUGACUUAGAGCCAGUUGAGUGAGCAGCAGGUGCUGCAGUUGUCAGUUAACUGACUCUCUGUGUGCACUACUCUGCUCAACUCUUAUAUAUAUAUGCCAUUUAGCAGACGCUUUUAUCCAAAGCGACUUACAGUCAUGUGUGCAUACACUCUACGUAUGGGUGGUCCCGGGAAUCGAACCCACCACCCUGGCGUCACAAGCGCCAUGCUCUACCAACUGAGCUACACACACACAGAAACUCUACAAAGACACACUGACAAACUGGAUCUCUACCUCCAGCCCUCCUCCUCUGGUCCCCUGCCAGCAGAGCAAGAUGAGCCUCCACAUCUAGUUCUCCAGAGACCACCAGACGCUCCUGUCAUUAAGUGUAUCACUCGUAAAGACAAAACGGCAUCUUUAAAGGUGGAAUGACAGAUCCUUAAAGGUGGAAUGACAGAUCUUUAAAGGUGGAAUGACAGACCUUUAAAGGUAGAAUGACAGAUCUUUAAAGGUGGAAUGACAGACCUUUAAAGGUGGAAUGACAGACGUUUAAAGGUGGAAUGACAGAUCUUUAAAGGUGGAAUGACAGAUCUUUAAAGGUGAAAUGACAGAUCUUUAAAGGUGGAAUGACAGAUCUUUAAAGGUGGAAUGACAGAUCUUUAAAGGUGGAAUGACAGAUCUUUAAAGGUGGAAUGACAGAUCUUUAAAGGUGGAAUGACAGAUCUUUAAAGGUGGAAUGACAG